ensembl:lncRNA
AGAGAACACCACUCCAAACCAGCGUGUCCAGGUCACAUCUUCUCCUAAAAGAUGAACAUCCUAAAGGAUUUCUUUCUCCGUCUUAAAGGAGAGAUACUGAAGUCUCCUCUCUAUACUUCGAUUCCUUUCAGCUUCAUCCUGAUGGGAGUGGAAAAGGUGAUGGAGUUUGAGUUUUCUUGCCCCUGCAUACCUGCUGUGAACGCUUGGUUUGCAUUCUUCAUGUUCAUUAGUCCUGCUCUGUUGGCCUUCACCAUAAUGAGGUAUCUCACAAAUCCAUCGGGACACGGUUUUUGGAGGAAUUUAUUUUAUUGCCUGAUGCCAUCAGCGGUCUGGAUUAUUAUGUUAUUUUUGGAUGGUCACUAUGUGGCCUGUGGGAUGACCAACUGGGAAGGAAACUAUGUCUUGGAUGAGGGAAAGCCUCCUAUGAAAUGGUGUGAAUUUAAUACUACUCAGGAAUCAACGGAGAAAUAUUUAUCUCAGCUACAUUUUGCACAGUCACAGAUUGCAGGUUUUGGUCUGUUGUCUUUCAGCUGUGCUUUGGCCCUGUUUUAUCUGUGGCGACGAGACCCCCAGGACCCCCCAGUACGACCCCCAGAGUUUGAAGCUGCCCUGGGUUUGGAUGAUUAAACAGGCUUUUGUUCAAUCAUUCAGUGAUGAUGUUCAGCUUAGUGUAGUACUUUCAGGUAAUGUGAUACAUUUGCUUUCAUACAAAAUGCAUAAAGAAGUGCCAAAUGUUGUCAUUAGAUUUAUUAAAGUAAAAAACGCUGCUUCAGUAAAAUAGUCGAAAAUAUACAACAAUAAGCAGGACUGGGAAAGAAAACUAAAGGCUAGGCUGCAUGUAAAGUGUUUGGGGCUCCUUCAGUUGUUUGGUUUGAGUUACAGGCUGUUUUCUUCAACAUCAACAAUCUUUCCUUUAUCAUCUCCCUCGAAAGCAAAGCUGUGCAGGUUCUGCUGAUUUUCUUCUUUACUAGCAUUUCAAUGCCUGUAAUGUUGUAUGGCUCUUGUGUUUAUGUUCCUAAGUCUUCAACGUGGAGCCAAUUUCAGCUACAAUCUUAAAAACGAUGGCUCUUCUUGGUUCUUUGGUAAAGAACGUGCUUCUAUAUACAGUCUCAAAAAAGAUGGUUCUUUUGGAUUCUUUAGUAAAGACAGUGGUUAUAUGUAGAAUUGUUGGCAUGAAAGAGCCUUUUUCAUGAUUAAAGGGUUCUUUGCUCUUCAGAUUGAUGGAGAAUGCACCACAGGAGCGCCACAGGAGGUCAUUCUUACUCUAUACUGUGGCCAUCAAACUCUAUAACUCCUCCCUCAGUGUGUGAUUAUCAAUACCUAACGGUUCAUAUGUGUAAUAAUAAUAACUGUGUGCAAAAACUCAGAGGGGCAGUAAUUUGAAGUGCUUUAUGCUGGAUGUUUCAUAUUUAUUAUCACAGUCACUUUACUGUAUUCAUAAGAGCUUAAAUCUCAUGUACAAUAUUGCAAAUUUCUCUUUGUUUUAAAUUAUUAAAGUGUUUAUUCUUUCUGUAACAACUGCGCUUUCCCUCUGGGAUCAAUAAAGGAUUCUGAUUCUGAUUCUGAUAUGGUUCUACGUAGCAACAAAAGGGUUCUUGCAUUGCUACAAGACUGACAUUGAAACAGUAGAAGGAACUGAAGAAGAACCAUUUUCAAAAAGAGUUGUUCUAGAACCAUAUAACGCACAUUCUCCAUCAAUCAAACAGAAGAGCUGUUUCACAGUGCAAAGAACCCUUUAAUUAUGCAAAUAGGCUGUUUAGGGUUCUAUAAAGAACCAUUUUUUUACUAAAGAACCAUCGUUAUUAAGUGUGACCACUGUAGUGUAUAAAACUACUUGGGUUCAUUGUUUUGAUUGUAUUUUUUACCUCGACUUGGUGCCAAAGUGCUGUUAAAUGAUUUUCUGCCAAU